CGAGACCGAGAAACGAGUACGUAUUUGUUUUACAAAUGGAGUACGGAGCGUGGCGAGGGCAACACGCGGCCGCAAUAAAUGCCAACGCGAUUUUAUGGCGCGAUCAAAUGAUUUUUCGUCGCCGUGAACGACGCCACGAAACAAUGAGCUUCGGUUUCGCCUCGCCUCGUCGUCUGACCAGAAACAACGCCGGGCCCAUUCCCCUUCGCGCUCGUUUACGGGCUCGUCGAAAAAACAACAGACAUAAAAGUCGUAUUUUGUGAUAACUUUUAAGAAAAUUCCGAACGACAGUUAGUUUGAGAUGCCACCGGAAUGGAAAUCGAUGAUUAAUUUCACCGAUACGACGAUGAAAUUGUGAGUCAUAUCGGGUACCGGAUGUCGCAUUUACUUGGUGUCCGCGCCGACAAGGAACAGCUCGUCCCCCGAGCAACCGUGGAAGACACCGAUGCCAUAAGGCUAUAUACGUGGCGUGGUUCGAACCGGACACGGUAGCGUAUACCGGCAUUUUAUUUCGCCUCUAAUGAUUCUUCAAAACAAGCUUUAUGUCCCGGACGGGCCGGUCGGACCAUAUUUGGCGCGGCGCUUUUAUCGCAAUGUUUUCUGCCUGUUCGUGUCCCGGGGGCAGAGAAGCAAACGCGCACUGCGGCGCCGCGCGAGAACAGAAGAAGACAGGUGGCAACUAUCGGUCCCGAAGACGCGAAUAAGAAGAACCGAUCGUCGUUAUGAUAUUUUUUUCAUCGCACCCUUUGCUCGUACGAAUACCAAUUAGACCGAUUUCGUCGUCCGAGAAAAAAGCCACCGAGUCACCCUCGUCUUUAUUCAUCAUUUAAAAGAAAGAAUAAAAAACAGAAUCGUUUUGUUAUUGUAAUACAAUUCAGAUCUCGUAUUCGCAAUUUUUAUAACCACAUAUUAUUAUAUUUUACAACGCUGGUAUUAUAAAUUGUAGAUACUCUUAUCUGCUCGAUAACAUUUCUUCAGAACUAAAUUUAUGCACGUCGUUUUCCUAUAUCCAUUUAUAAAACACAGGGACAUUUAUCUCGAACACCUUGCAUAUUAUCAAGAAGUAUGACACGUCGGGCAACAUAUAUCAUGUCCCUGACAGAAGAGUCUACCUGUCGCGCCUUAAUUUCCGUUUCUAUCUGUCGAAGACGGUAAUAACAGGUAACGAUAGCGGGCCGGUAGAUUGCACAGGGAGGACUUGCAAGUCGACACCGUCUGUCGGUCGGUCAACGUGAUUUUUCCAUUCAUCAAUUAAUCGAUCGCGUGCUCGAUAACACGCCGAUAAAUAGGUGCAGAUGUUCUGCGAAAGCCGAUUCGUGAACGUGCGAAUCGAAUGCGACCAGAGAGAAGACGGGUGGGCUUGUUUGUAUAAUCAAUGAAGUGGCUCCGACGUCGCGAGAAAAAGCGCGUAGUCGCGGAAAAGGCUAAUGCGCGGAAGAAACGAGACGAACUCGUUCGAUCGAAUAUGGUUCGAGAGUAAGGAAAAACUGCGCGGCUCUACUACGCGGAAAAACUCGAUGACGGUCAAAGGAGCAACUGCAACGGCUUUUUGUUCCGCGCAACGCGACAGAUGGCUAAGUUCUUCAUCUAAAGUAGUGCUCGGUCCCUUUAACGGAAGGCACGCCGAUUCCAUCUUCGGUAUACAUUCGCCCACGUAACCUGUUCGCCUGCCUAGGGGAGCUCUCCUACAUUUUCUCUCUAAACCGCGCGCGGCUCCUCCAACAGGGAAGAAUAAUAAGCCGAGCCACUACUACGGCGCGCAACCGGAUGCGCUCGAAGUUGGAAGACAGCGCGUGGUUGCAAGCGGAGACGAAUGUUACGCGACGACGUUUAUAAAAUACGACAGUUUAAGAUGGUACUUCACAGACACAAGAGUAUUCGCAAUGCUCCUGUCUCGAACACCACUUGCAGUGUUUAGUUAAUGUAAAAACCAUCUCAAAUUCCCUUACUCAUCAAAUAAUCCUCACCUUUCCAACUUCGAUUUGAACGCUACGAAUAUGUUAAUGUGAAUGCUGUCGACUAUAUCUUUCGAAAACGCCUCGUAAGAUUGGAAAAAGUACACAACAUUCCCGUGCGAGUCACAAGAUGAUUAAUUAUUCCGCAAGUUCGACACACAAACGCGUAAACUGCACUUUGUAUGCAUUUAUGCAAAAAUUGAAAAUAUAAAGAAUGCGCAUAAUAUGAAAAAAUAUUUGGGAUACAAAAAACUACGCGAAUGAAAGUUCUAUCUGGAUUACAUUUCUUAAAUGUUACAAAUCUGAUCUUCGAGAUUAAUGAAAUUUCCAAAACGACAAUAGCACUGUACUAUCUCACGCACGGAACUACUAGUGAACUUCGGUUAUGUCCGACUGAUCGAUUUUCGCAUUCAUCGGCAGCGGCGAUACGUCAAUGGUUAACGAUGUAUUGGCUAUACAGUCAAUCCCAAAAGUUUAUGUACCUUAGAAAAACGUAUUUCCUAUAAUU